AUUGAACGCUGGCGGCAUGCCUUACACAUGCAAGUCGAACGGUAACAGGUCUUCGGAUGCUGACGAGUGGCGAACGGGUGAGUAAUACAUCGGAACGUGCCUAGUAGUGGGGGAUAACUACUCGAAAGAGUGGCUAAUACCGCAUGAGAUCUACGGAUGAAAGCAGGGGAUCGCAAGACCUUGUGCUACUAGAGCGGCCGAUGGCAGAUUAGGUAGUUGGUGGGAUAAAAGCUUACCAAGCCGACGAUCUGUAGCUGGUCUGAGAGGACGAUCAGCCACACUGGGACUGAGAAACGGCCCAGACUCCUACGGGAGGCAGCAGUGGGGAAUUUUGGACAAUGGGCGCAAGCCUGAUCCAGCAAUGCCGCGUGCAGGAUGAAGGCCUUCGGGUUGUAAACUGCUUUUGUACGGAACGAAAAGCCCCGGGUUAAUACCCUGGGGUCAUGACGGUACCCAAAGAAUAAGCACCGGCUAACUUCGUGCCAGCAGCCGCCGUAA
rnacentral:rRNA from 1 species